CCAAGAAUCAAUUGUUUAGAUACUGGCGUGUUUUGGCCUCAUUCUGAACUGGUAUUGCGGGGUUUUAUAGCGAACACGUAAAUGCCCAAGCGAGACGGGGUUAUUGAUUGCCCAAGCGUCUCAUGCACGCUAUAGCUAACUACAGUUUAACUUUUUGUCAUUCUUCCUUUCAGAGGCUUUUGCUGGGAGCGUGCGGAUUCACGGUCCAGUCCAUCUAAUUUGAUUACCCCACACACGAGAAAAAAUCUGAUUGUUGGAUGUGCCGACAUCUGGUGUUGACGCCAGGUAUGACGGUGUCUAUUUUUUUCGCAAUUCUACACUAACAAUCACUGGCCUUUGUGAAUUCGUCGCCUCGAUAUUAUCUCACCUAUAUUUCAUGUUGUGCUGGCUCUUCGUUACUGGGCUUGAUGUGUGGCAAACGCACCGUUGCAUUGUGCUUACUCGCUUGCCAGGUCGUGUGCACGAUAUCCUGUACAGUCCAGUGACCAGUUGGACGAUUGGCUGCCUCUAUCCCUUCGCUCCCUUGGAGCUAAACAUCCCAUGCCGCUCGUAGUUUUCUCCGGGCUGCGCAAGCCGACAGUUUCAUCACCAGUUGUUCGCAGGCGAUUCAAUGUUGCCGGCGGGGGGGAUACUGAGGACUUGUGAGGCAGUCUUACAGUUUUAUCUUUCGGCAAAAGCUUCCGUAUUUUCAAAGCUCCUGUCGAACUCACGGCACGUUCGAGUUUUUUGUCUUCGGGCAGCCCACUGGAGUCCGUAUAUCAUCUCUUGCCAUGGAAUUCAAAUCUUGUGAUCUGCUGCGAUACGUAUGAACUAGGCUGUUUAGCGUCCGUAACUUUAACAGCCAGAACCUUUUUGCCACUCAAAAGGAAACCAACACCGUUGUUUUCACCUCUUUCUCGAGUGGGUUUUCGAGUUGCACACGUCUGCUUUGUCGACGGUCGCAGCAAUACGUCUGCAUGCAGACAAAGAGAUCUCCUCGUUCGCGCAUGAUUCUUCCGUGUCCCUAAUUCGACUUCCUCUCAUCAGGAUACGUACCGGAAGGUGUUUACGUUUUCUGGCUCGAAGUCACCAGGCGUGGCCGGCACCGAAAGCCAUCUCGCUUUUCUAUCCUUCACACGAUGUUGAUCUGCUGCGUUUUCAUUGGGGCAGCGUUGGUGGGUGUCGCAGCUCUUAGCGAAGGUAUCCGCAGAUCGGGAGUUCUGACAGCGUCUUCCUCACAACCUGAACGGCGAGGGGGCUGUCGUGGUCGUGUCCAUACGCCGGCGUAAACGACCCACGUAUAUCUAUAUCUAUAUAUAACGUAUGCGCAUAUAUUUUGGACUGCGUGAAUAUUCGCGUAUAUGCAUAGCUCAGAGAUACUUGUAUUUCCUUGCACUUCUAUACACUUUCCGGCGUCUGACAUGGUUGCGAUUUGACACAGUGUAAGCGAUACCACAACACGUUCAUACCGUUUGUCGCCGCGGAGGCGUUUGUCUCUGCUAUGGCGGCUGUGAGGUAACAACGUUCAACACUCUUCAAAGCGAGGAUUCGACCACAUUUUCGGUAGCUGAAGGCUGUGGAGAUCUCCCAAGCCUGGUCGCCGUAGAAGAUUCCGUCUUUAUCCCAGGAAGUUUGAGGGACUAUUGAGACCUGAACCUCUGCGGUGCUCGAAGUGCUUCGUAAGCUGUUUGAUACAUUUCACACUGGCAUGCCCAUCAGGCAUCGGGACCCAUCGGUCGUGCAACUCCAGAAAAAAGCAGUAAACUGAAUCUGCGCGGCUGAGUCUCGCAAACCAAGAACAGAAGCAUAUGAAGUAUGUAAUGGUGUAUGACCUGUGAGAAAUGUCCACAAUUAUGUAGAGGGUGCUCAGUUACGGUGGAUACCCGGCCAGCUGCCCGUGGAUCCCGAAAAGGAAACACCAGCAGGGCGUCACCUCCUUCCUAGCAAGUGGG
rnacentral:lncRNA from 1 species